UACGGAGGGAGCUAGCGUUGUUCGGAAUUACUGGGCGUAAAGCGCACGUAGGCGGCUUUGUAAGUUAGAGGUGAAAGCCUGGGGCUCAACUCCAGAACUGCCUUUAAAACUGCAUCGCUUGAAUCCAGGAGAGGUGAGUGGAAUUCCGAGUGUAGAGGUGAAAUUCGUAGAUAUUCGGAAGAACACCAGUGGCGAAGGCGGCUCACUGGACUGGUAUUGACGCUGAGGUGCGAAAGCGUGAGGAGCAAACAGG
rnacentral:rRNA from 1 species